UUUACCGUGAAAAAAUUAGAGUGUUCAAAGCAGGCAGAUCCAAUUUUCUGCCACCGAAUACAUUAGCAUGGGAUAAUGGAAUAGGACCCUGUCCUCCUAUUUUCAGUUGGUUUUGGCAGCGCGAGGACUAGGGUAAUGAUUAAUAGGGAUAGUUGGGGGCAUUAAUAUUUAAUUGUCAGAGGUGAAAUUCUUGGAUUUAUGAAAGAUUAACUUCUGCGAAAGCAUCUGCCAAGGAUGUUUUCAUUAAUCAAGAACGAAAGUUAGGGGAUCGAAGACGAUCAGAUACCGUCGUAGUCUUAACCAUAAACGAUGCCGACCAGCGAUUAGGAGACGUUGAAUACAAAACACCACCAUCGGUUGCGGUCGUCCUUGGCGUCUCGGUUUCGGCCGGGGCGCGGGGACGGUUUAGCCCGGUGGCACCGGUGAAUGACUCCCCUAGCAGCUUGUGAGAAA
rnacentral:rRNA from 1 species